rnacentral:rRNA from 1 species
AUUGAACGCUGGCGGCAGGCCUAACACAUGCAAGUCGAACGAGUGGCGGACGGGUGAGUAAUGUCUGGGAAACUGCCUGAUGGAGGGGGAUAACUACUGGAAACGGUAGCUAAUACCGCAUACCAUCGGAUUUGCCCAGAUGGGAUUAGCUAGUAGGUGGGGUAAAGGCUCACCUAGGCGACGAUCCCUAGCUGGUCUGAGAGGAUGACGGGCCACAGUGGAAAGGAGAAACGGUCCAGACUCCGACGGGAGGCGGCAGAGGGGAAUAUUGGACAAUGGGCGCAAGCCUGAUGCAGCCAUGCCGCGUGUAUGAAGAAGGACUUCGGGUUGUAAAGUACUUUCAGCGGGGAGGCGUUACCCGCAGAAGAAGCACCGGCUAACUCCGUGCCAGCAGCCGCGGUAAUUC